CAGUGAAAUUGAACUCGCUGUGAAGAUGCAGUGUACCCGCGGCAAGACGGAAAGACCCCGUGAACCUUUACUAUAGCUUGACACUGAACAUUGAGCCUUGAUGUGUAGGAUAGGUGGGAGGCUUUGAAGUGUGGACGCCAGUCUGCAUGGAGCCGACCUUGAAAUACCACCCUUUAAUGUUUGAUGUUCUAACGUGGACCCGUAAUCCGGGUUGCGGACAGUGUCUGGUGGGUAGUUUGACUGGGGCGGUCUCCUCCUAAAGAGUAACGGAGGAGCACGAAGGUUGGCUAAUCCUGGUCGGACAUCAGGAGGUUAGUGCAAUGGCAUAAGCCAGCUUGACUGCGAGCGUGACGGCGCGAGCAGGUGCGAAAGCAGGUCAUAGUGAUCCGGUGGUUCUGAAUGGAAGGGCCAUCGCUCAACGGAUAAAAGGUACUCCGGGGAUAACAGGCUGAUACCGCCCAAGAGUUCAUAUCGACGGCGGUGUUUGGCACCUCGAUGUCGGCUCAUCACAUCCUGGGGCUGAAGUAGGUCCCAAGGGUAUGGCUGUUCGCCAUUUAAAGUGGUACGCGAGCUGGGUUUAGAACGUCGUGAGACAGUUCGGUCCCUAUCUGCCGUGGGCGCUGGAGAACUGAGGGGGGCUGCUCCUAGUACGAGAGGACCGGAGUGGACGCAUCACUGGUGUUCGGGUUGUCAUGCCAAUGGCACUGCCCGGUAGCUAAAUGCGGAAGAGAUAAGUGCUGAAAGCAUCUAAGCACGAAACUUGCCCCGA
rnacentral:rRNA from 5 species